GCUCCCAAUGUCUGGCUCAGUUGGUAGAGCAUUGCACUAGUAAUGCAGAGGUCAUGGGUUCAAAUGCCAUUGAAGCC